AGAGUUUGAUCCUGGCUCAGGAUGAACGCUGGCGGCGUGCCUAAUACAUGCAAGUCGAACGCUUCACUUCGGUGAAGAGUGGCGAACGGGUGAGUAAUACAUAAGUAACCUGGCAUCUAUAGGGGGAUAACUGAUGGAAACGUCAGCUAAGGCCGCAUAGGUGUAGAGAUCGCAUGAACUCUAUAUGAAAAGUGCUACGGGACUGGUAGAUGAUGGACUUAUGGCGCAUUAGCUGGUUGGUAGGGUAACGGCCUACCAAGGCGACGAUGCGUAGCCGACCUGAGAGGGUGACCGGCCACACUGGGACUGAGACACGGCCCAGACUCCUACGGGAGGCAGCAGUAGGGAAUUUUCGGCAAUGGGGGAAACCCUGACCGAGCAACGCCGCGUGAAGGAAGAAGUAAUUCGUUAUGUAAACUUCUGUCAUAGAGGAAGAACGGUGGAUAUAGGGAAUGAUAUCCAAGUGACGGUACUCUAUAAGAAAGCCACGGCUAACUACGUGCCAGCAGCCGCGGUAAUACGUAGGUGGCGAGCGUUAUCCGGAAUUAUUGGGCGUAAAGAGGGAGCAGGCGGCACUAAGGGUCUGUGGUGAAAGAUCGAAGCUUAACUUCGGUAAGCCAUGGAAACCGUAGAGCUAGAGUGUGUGAGAGGAUCGUGGAACUCCAUGUGU
rnacentral:rRNA from 1 species